UGCUGUCUCCACCCUCCAAUCAGUGAAACUGAUCUCUCCGUGAAGAAGCGGAGAUAUUUACAUAAGACGAGAAGACCCCAUGGAGCUUUAAACCCGAUAACACCCAUUUACUUUAUACCACUACAUACUUUUGGCUCCUGCUUACCCGGUUUUAGGUUGGGGUGACCACGGAGUAUAAAACAACCUCCGCGAAGAAAGGAAAAACAGACCUUAUCAGAGAAUAACACUUCCAAGAACUAAUAAAUUAAUUUUUAAUGAUCCGACAUUCGAUCAACGAACUAAGUUACCCUGGGGAUAACAGCGCAAUCCACCUCAAGAGCCCCUAUCGACAGGUGGG
rnacentral:rRNA from 1 species